rnacentral:rRNA from 1 species
UACAGAGGAGCCAAGCGUUGUCCGGAUUGACUGGGCGUAAAGCGCACGCAGGCGGCACCGCGCGUGGGGUGUGAAAUCUGGCCGCUUAACGGCCAGGCGCCAUCCCAUACGGCGGAGCUGGAGUGAUGCAGAGGUCGAUGGAAUUGCCGGUGUAGUGGUGAAAUGCGUAGAGAUCGGGAGGAACACCAGUGGCGAAGGCGGCUCACUGGUCCAUUACUGACGCUGAGGUGCGAAAGCGUGGGGAGCAAACAGG